rnacentral:tRNA from 1 species
GGAGAGAUGGCCGAGUGGCUGAAGGCGCACGCUUGGAAAGCGUGUAUACCCGAAAGGGUAUCGAGGGUUCGAAUCCCUCUCUCUCCGCCA